rnacentral:rRNA from 1 species
UGGGGAAUAUUGGACAAUGGGCGAAAGCCUGAUCCAGCCAUGCCGCGUGUGUGAAGAAGGUCUUCGGAUUGUAAAGCACUUUAAGUUGGGAGGAAGGGCAGUAAGCGAAUACCUUGCUGUUUUGACGUUACCGACAGAAUAAGCACCGGCUAACUCUGUGCCAGCAGCCGCGGUAAUACAGAGGGUGCAAGCGUUAAUCGGAAUUACUGGGCGUAAAGCGCGCGUAGGUGGUUCGUUAAGUUGAAUGUGAAAGCCCCGGGCUCAACCUGGGAACUGCAUCCAAAACUGGCGAGCUAGAGUAGGGCAGAGGGUAGUGGAAUUUCCUGUGUAGCGGUGAAAUGCGUAGAUAUAGGAAGGAACACCAGUGGCGAAGGCGACCACCUGGGCUCAUACUGACACUGAGGUGCGAAAGCGUGGGGAGCAAACAGG